UCCGUAGGUGAACCUGCGGAAGGAUCAUUAGUGAAUUUUAGGGUGCUCUACUUCGCGUAGAGGGCUGACCUCCACUUUCUAACCCUGUGCACUAUUUGGGUUGCGAGAACGAAAAGCUGCUUCACGGGGGGUUGGACUUUGAGCGAGCGGGUUCAUUUUAAACACUAGUUAAAGAAUGUAACCAAAAACAAAACUAAAAAAACUUUCAACAACGGAUCUCUUGGGUCUCGCAUCGAUGAAGAACGCAGCGAAAUGUGAUAAGUAAUGUGAAUUGCAGAAUUCAGUGAAUCAUCGAAUCUUUGAACGCACCUUGCACUCUUUGGUAUUCCGAAGAGUAUGUCUGUUUGAGUGUCAUGAACUCUUCAACCCACCAGUUUCUUGUUAGACUGUGUGGUGUUUGGAUUUUGAGUGUUGCUGGUCUUCGGACGAAGCUCAUUCGUAAUACAUUAGCAUCUCAAUUUCGAUAUUCGGAUUGACUCAGCGUGAUAGACUAUUCGCUGAGGACACUUUUAGUGGGCGAAUUUGAAGUAGAAGCUCAUAGCUAGAUCUUAGUCACCUUUGAUUUAGACCUCAAAUCAGAUAGGAUUACCCGCUGAACUUAAGCAUAUCAAUAAGCGGAGGA
rnacentral:rRNA from 1 species